CGCGUUUCCUCCUCCCGAUCUAGCCGAUCGCUUUGUUGCGGUUUAAUUGUGGCCGACUGGAGGCUGGAGGCGGGGGGGGGGGGGGGUGGUGCGGAGGAAAGAGUGGAGAGACAGUGUCGCUAGGAAGAGGCUGCCCCCUCCUGCCCCAGACAUUGUUAGGGCCUCCUGACGACUCCGCCCCAAACUGGGUCCAAGAUCCCCGUCGUCCUGAUGCUGGCCUCUGUCACGGUCACCGAAGCCCCCGCCCGGCGGCCUUGGACAGAAAAGCAGCUCCUGUUCUGGGUGGAAGAAAAGCGUAGUCCUGGCGCUGUUACGGGUGUGGGGCAGAUGGCCCUGAAAGAUCGUUAGGUUAAAACCGUGGUUCAUCGUUGUCCCAGGGGGCGCAUAGAAAGCGUCCAUGCCACACCUUGUGAUUCCCUCCAGUUUUAGCCAAGCCUUCUCCAUAUCUGUCCAGAUCACUGUAAGAAGGAUUUUAAAGCAGAAAUACAAGAGUUUAGCUGGCUUUGAGUUUGCUUCAGUGAAAAAGAAAUCUCCCAAAUGUGACUGAGAAGAAGACCCAGGACAAGCCAAAAGCUAGAAUGAGGAAGUUUCUUCUGGCUGUCUGGAAAUGACAUCCAUCUGGGAGCCAGUUCAUGCUUAAGUGUCAGCCACAGUGUGCUUUCCUCAGCAGGGAUAAAGCUCCAGCCAAGGACCGAUCUCUCUUCCCUCAGAUACAGGUCAAGGAGCCAGCAUCCUCUCCCAGCCUUCCCUGCUUCCCAGACUGGUUAAUUGAAUUGCUUUAUCAGCCAUCAUCACAGAGGCAGAAGGUGGCACAGAGUCUGUUCAUGGUGGACACUUAAUAAAUGAUUGUUCAAGAAUAAAUUAGCCACAAAGGAAUAAGAGAUGGAGAAACUGGUAAGUGGACUAAGAGCUGGAGCAAGAGGUUGUUGUGCCAUCUGGUGGCUAUUCUUGGAACAACACUUUCUUCUCUGCGGCAGGAAAAGGAAAUAGAAGGUUCCUUGGGGCACUUAGGCUGUGUCAGGGAUCAGGCAGCCUCAUUCUAGACUGGAGUGGGGUGCUGUGGGG
ensembl:lncRNA